CAACUUUCAACAACGGAUCUCUUGGCUCUCGCAUCGAUGAAGAACGCAGCGAAAUGCGAUAAGUAAUGUGAAUUGCAGAAUUCAGUGAAUCAUCGAAUCUUUGAACGCACCUUGCGCCCUUUGGCAUUCCGAAGGGCACGCCUGUUUGAGUGUC
rnacentral:rRNA from 1 species